AAAACGACUCUCGGCAACGGAUAUCUCAGCUCUCGCAUCGAUGAAGAACGCAGCGAAAUGCGAUACUUGGUGUGAAUUGCAGAAUCCCGUGAACCGUCUACUCUUUCAACGAAAGUUGCGCCCGAAGCCACUAGGUCGAGUGCACGUCUGCCUGGGCGUC
rnacentral:rRNA from 1 species